AACACAUGCAAGUCGAGGGGAAACGGCAUUUAGUGCUUGCACCGAAUGGACGUCGACCGGCGCACGGGUGAGUAACGCGUAUCCAACUUUCCCAUAACUAAGGGAUAACCUGCCGAAAGGCAGACUAAUACCUUAUGUAAUCCUUUGAUGGCAUCAAAUAAGGAUAAAAGAUUUAUCGGUUAUGGAUGGGGAUGCGUCUGAUUAGCUUGUUGGCGGGGUAACGGCCCACCAAGGCAACGAUCAGUAGGGGUUCUGAGAGGAAGGUCCCCCACAUUGGAACUGAGACACGGUCCAAACUCCUACGGGAGGCAGCAGUGAGGAAUAUUGGUCAAUGGACGGAAGUCUGAACCAGCCAAGUAGCGUGCAGGAUGACGGCCCUAUGGGUUGUAAACUGCUUUUGUAUGGGGAUAAAGUCAAUCACGUGUGAUUGUUUGCAGGUACCAUACGAAUAAGGACCGGCUAAUUCCGUGCCAGCAGCCGCGGUAAUACGGAAGGUUCGGGCGUUAUCCGGAUUUAUUGGGUUUAAAGGGAGCGUAGGCCGGAGAUUAAGUGUGUUGUGAAAUGUAGACGCUCAACGUCUGACUUGCAGCGCAUACUGGUUUCCUUGAGUACGCACAACGUUGGCGGAAUUCGUCGUGUAGCGGUGAAAUGCUUAGAUAUGACGAAGAACUCCGAUUGCGAAGGCAGCUGACGGGAGCGCAACUGACGCUGAAGCUCGAAGGUGCGGGUAUCGAACAGGAUUAGAUACCCUGGUAGUCCGCACAGUAAACGAUGGAUGCCCGCUGUUGGUACCUGGUAUCAGCGGCUAAGCGAAAGCAUUAAGCAUCCCACCUGGGGAGUACGCCGGCAACGGUGAAACUCAAAGGAAUUGACGGGGGCCCGCACAAGCGGAGGAACAUGUG
rnacentral:rRNA from 1 species